rnacentral:sRNA from 1 species
AAGAAGUGUGACUAGAGGCUGAACCUAGGUCUUCUCCCGAAAUCUAUCCUGUUAAUUGAUGUUAAUCUGGGAGAGUCUGCUCUGAAAAGCAGAAGCAUAUUGACUUGGAUGGAAUUGAGCACUUCGCCAAAAUCUACAGUCAAAAAAUUGGCAUCAAAAAGGAGGUUCUUAUGAAAACCUUGUGGGGAGAUUACUAUAUAAAUAUGAAGGCUAAAAAGAUCAUGAAGGGUGAUCAGGCCAAAGGAAAGAAAUCUUUAUUUGUACAGUUGAUCCUGGAAAAUAUAUGGAGUUUGUAUGAUGCUGUUUUGAAAAAGGACAAAGACAAAAUUGAUAAAAUAGUGACUUCUUUAGGAUUAAAAAUUGGAGCCCGGGAGGCACGACAUUCAGACCCUAAAGUUCAGAUCAAUGCCAUUUGCAGUCAGUGGCUACCCAUAUCCCAUGCUGUUCUUGCUAUGGUGUGUCAGAAACUUCCUAGUCCCCUUGAUAUUACAGCUGAGAGAGUGGAGAGACUGAUGUGCACAGCAUCACAAACUUUUGACUCUCUUCCACCAGAAACU